rnacentral:rRNA from 1 species
CCAGCUCCAAUAGCGUAUAUUAAAGUUGUUGCAGUUAAAAAGCUCGUAGUUGGAUUUCUGGUCGGAGCGAUCGGUCCGCCUCAUUCGGGGUGUGUACUUUGUGUCGUCUCCAGCCAUCCUUGAGGCGAGCUGUCCUGGCAUUGAGUUGUUGGGGCAGGGAACCUCAUCUUUUACUGUGAAAAAAUUAGAGUGUUUAAAGCAGGCUUACGCCGUUGAAUACAUUAGCAUGGAAUAAUAAGAUAGGACUUUGGUGGUCUAUUUUGUUGGUUUGCACACCGAAGUAAUGAUUAAGAGGGACAGUUGGGGGUAUUCGUAUUUAAUUGUCAGAGGUGAAAUUCUUGGAUUUCUGAAAGACGAACUACUGCGAAAGCAUUUACCAAGGAUGUUUUCA